UGAGGCUGCAGCAUGACCUAAAUUGCAUCCACCGCCUUUAAAAUCCACUGGGCCAUAAGCAGCCAGCCAAGGACCCGUUCUGCCUGCAGAGCAUUCAGAUUAAUUGUCAAGAUUUCUAAAGGCUGCUUUGACCAUGAUUACUUCCUGUGAAUUUCACUGCAAGCAGAAGCAAAGCACAGUCAUGGCAAAACUGCAGAUUUCUCCAGGCUGGGCCGACACAUGAAUGUCUUCAAUGUGAAUUCAAGUAUUUGAGAGUUGCUGAGGUAAAGCCAGGCCCGAAGGUUGAGGACUGCUAUUUAUACCCCACUUGCCUGGACUCGGGCACGUCAGGCCAUGUGGGACAUCUCCCCUGUGCUGUGUGUUAAUGAUCCAGAGGAAUAUCACCAUCCAUUCUGCUAACGAUUCCCCUGGCAGCUGCUUGGGCAGUGCAGGCAAGGUGGCACUGCUGAUGAAAUCUGCUAUGUGCAGACUUCAGCUUGCAACAACACAGCACUGUUUCAACACUGAUGAGAGAUACUCAGGCUGACAUUCACAGGUAAUUGACUGUAUAAAGCCCACCAGUUUUUCAGAUCCAUGCUUUAUGUUUUUUCUUGUUCGCCUGCUCUAAAUGCAGUGUACAUUUCUACAUCACUCUGCAUCCAAGUGUUCCUGGUGUUUCCCCUGGGACAGCAAUAGAGGGAAAGUUUUGAGGAUCAGAGCAUCUCCUCCAUCAGACACAGCCUUGUCUCACCCUGAGUUGUGCCUCUACCACCAGCAGCUCCUGCUGUGUGUGUCGGAAUAGCUGAGCUCUGUAUACACCUAACUUAUGGAGCUGGAGCUUAUUAAAGCACCAGGUACUAUGGAUGUCACAGUGAACUACAAGAAGCGAUGGGGUGGCUGACUAUUGUGAACAAACAAAUGUCCACGGCGUUACUUUGGAAGUCAUGCAAAAGUAAAGGGACAGAACCUGUGCCACAGCUUUCAGCCAGGCUGUGCAUACUGCAGGGGGUGAGGUUGGCUGCAGGAGCUGAUCUGAUGCAGCCCAGUCAGUGAGGGACAAAAACAAAGGGAGAUGGGCCAUGAGUUUGCCAGCGGUGGUGUCCUAUGCAGCACACAGACAACGAGACAGUUUGGAAUCCCUCCCUCCAAACUCCAAACUGAGAAAAUUGAUGAAGCCUCCACAGACAGCAGUGUUUUUCUGAAUUAAGGCGAUGUGUCAGAAUGUCUCAUUAGCACCGCAUGGCAGAGGACAAUGUCUGUAUCCAAACCACUGAGUUGUACCUCAGCAUGCCCGCUAUCUCAGGGAGAGGUGAGGAAAGCAGAAAGGAGGAGCAGCUCAUUGCAUAGAGGUGUUUUAUCACCUCUUCUCUGCCCUUCCCCACUGAGCACAGAUACUCCCGGCCGCUCUUCGUUGUCUGUUUAAAUCACAUCAAUUUAAAAGGGUUACAAGAGGCUGCAUUUAAUCAAAGCAUUUGCUACGUCCAGGUCUCCUUGUCCCUCUCCUUUCCCAGAUGUAUCCAGAGAAUUAUCUCGUUGGAGACCCGUUUCCCCUCGAGGACCCAAGGGGAAUAUCCACUUAACAAUUAAAGAACAGUUGGAGCUAAGAGGAUGCUGGCAGCCCUGUCACCUCCUCAGAGCGGCCCAGCCCUGCCGUCGCCAUCUGCCCGCCCCACAGGGCUGAGCUCCCACAGCAGAGAUGGGCGUCGUGCUCAGAUACUCGCGGGAAGAUCUCAUCUGACGAUAUAAAACAACACAACAGACUUGGCCUCUU
rnacentral:lncRNA from 1 species